rnacentral:rRNA from 1 species
AGCGAACGCUGGCGGCAGGCUUAGCACAUGCAAGUCGAGCGGGCACUUUCGGGUGUCAGCGGCGGACGGGUGAGUAACGCGUGGGAACGUGCCCUCUGGUUCGGAAUAACUCAGGGAAACUUGAGCUAAUACCGGAUACGCCCUUUUGGGGAAAGGCUUGCUGCCGGAGGAUCGGCCCGCGUCUGAUUAGCUAGUUGGCGAGGUAACGGCUCACCAAGGCGACGAUCAGUAGCUGGUCUGAGAGGAUGAUCAGCCACACUGGGACUGAGACACGGCCCAGACUCCUACGGGAGGCAGCAGUGGGGAAUAUUGGACAAUGGGCGCAAGCCUGAUCCAGCCAUGCCGCGUGAGUGAUCAAGGCCUUAGGGUUGUAAAGCUCUUUUAUCCGGGACGAUAAUGACGGUACCGGAGGAAUAAGCCCCGGCUAACUUCGUG